GCUUGUCUCAAAGAUUAAGCCAUGCAUGUGUUAGUAUAAACGCCUUUAUACUGUGAAACUGCGAACGGCUCAUUAUAUCAGUUAUAGUUUAUUUGAUACUUUUCGACUAUUGGAUAACCGUAGUAAUUCUAGAGCUAAUACAUGCGCCAAGUCCCGUCUUACGUCGGGAUGUAUUUAUUAGAUUUCAAUCAACACUUUUUGCUGACUCAUGAUAACUUAGCGGAUCGCAUGGGCUUUGCCCGCGACAAACCAUUCAAGUUUCUGCCCCAUCAGCUUUCGAUGGUAGUGUAUUGGACUACCAUGGCUAUUACGGGUAACGGAGGAUUAGGGUUCGAUUCCGGAGAGGGAGCCUGAGAAACGGCUACCACAUCUAAGGAAGGCAGCAGG
rnacentral:rRNA from 1 species